UGAAAGCUGGAAGGAAGAGCAUCAGACUGUUACAGAGAAAGUACAUCCAGGCCACGCUGCAGACAUGCCCUGCUACUGUGCACCAAGAAAAGCUGCCGCUCCUCACCCAGCUGCCUCUUCAACAGGAAAGCCUCGGUAGCCAGAGUUCCUCCUCCUCACACCUCUAGCAUAUCUACACAACUGCACAGCACACCAUGUGUGAAGGACAGAAAUGACAGACACUGGGUCUGCACAGGCGGGAAGCCUCCAAACCGGAGCAGACACCCCCACCACCUGGGAGGCCUUCAUCUAGUCUCCACUCCUGCCACUAUCGGGGGUGUGGUCAGAGAAACUCUCUCCGCUGUCUAGACCUCUUCUCCUGUGUGGAUAUCAGACACUGCCUGGACUAAAGGAUCCCCUUACCACAGGCCCAGGGACUGUGGGUACUGCACUACAUCCCUGCCCAGGCUUUGGUGGCAAGGUUGGCUUUUGUAUUUGUGUGGAUACCCAGUGGCAGGAGCUGGCAGGUAGGCCCUGGGGAAAUCAGUUGGGGGAAGCCGGGCGUCACUUCCGACCCCGUUCUCACCAUGUCCAGCAGGAUGUCCACCUUCAGCCGCAGGAGAUUGUUCUCUUCUUCCAACUGCUGGUUUCGUUUGCGCAGGCGCUGAGUUUCCCUCCGGUCCACACCCCCACUAAUCACUGAGUCUAGAGGACACAAGACAGGAGUGAAAGGGCUCUCCUCCUGCCACCCUGACGGACAAAACAUCAGGAAGGGCCACUCACCUGCCACCCACUGGCCAUUUUCAAACUUCAGGCUUUGCCCCGCCAGGUUCAUGGUAGGAGUUCCAUAGUCAAGACCCAGCUCCAGUUCUCGCGUUGACCGAUCUAACUGUGGUAAGACACCAUGGUGGCACAGGAAGCCGUGGAACAAGAGAGGACAUCACAACGAGAAAUGUUGGUUCUGGGAAUUAGACUUAGGUCCUCACAUCUCUCCACAGAGUCAAUUCCUCACUGCCCGGGAACUCCUUUUUUAAAAAUGCUACAAAUUCUGAGGGAGACUUGUGGUGCCCAGGCAGGCCUUGACUGUGUAAUACCGUCUCAGCCUCCCAUGUAGCUGGAACUGUAGGCCUGCACACCACGCCAGGUGCUUCUCUUUUCCUUACUCAGCACCCAAGAGUCUGGUUGAUAUACAGAGUUAUCAAUUAGCUGCUGUGAAAUCGAUGAAUAGGGAAGAUGGCUCUGGGCAGGCAGAGCAACAUAAAGGAGGCUCUUGUAAGGUUGGGUGGUUGAAGCAAAAGGCGCACAGAGGAUAAGGCCAUAAGGUACUUUAUGUGUCUUUCUCAACCUGAGCCACUGUCCUGUACAACAGGAUGCUAUUAAGGCCCCCGGAAGAUAGAGUAAUGGCUCAGAGGUUAAGAGCACUGGCAGCUUCCAGAGGUCCUGAGUUCAUAUCCAGCAACCACAUGGUGGCUCAAAACCAUCUGUAAUGGAAUCUGGUGCCCUCUUCUGGCCUGCAGACAUACAGGUAGGCAAACCACUGUAUAUAUAUAUUUAAUAAAUAAAUAAAUAAAUAAAUAAAUCUUAAAA